GACAGAGGGGCAAGCGUUGCUCGGAAUCACUGGGCGUAAAGGGUGCGUAGGCGGGUCUUUAAGUCAGGGGUGAAAUCCUGGAGCUCAACUCCAGAACUGCCUUUGAUACUGAGGAUCUUGAGUUCGGGAGAGGUGAGUGGAACUGCGAGUGUAGAGGUGAAAUUCGUAGAUAUUCGCAAGAACACCAGUGGCGAAGGCGGCUCACUGGCCCGAUACUGACGCUGAGGCACGAAAGCGUGGGGAGCGAACGAGG
rnacentral:rRNA from 1 species